ACUAUAGAUUAUAGGUAAAGACUAGAUUAUAGGUAAAGAUUAUAGAUUAUAGGUAAAGACUAGAUUAUAGGUAAAGAUUAUAGAUUAUAGGUAAAGACCAGAUUAUAGGUAAAGAUUAUAGAUUAUAGGUAAAGACUAGAUUAUAGAUUAUAGGUAAAGAUUAUAGAUUAUAGGUAAAGACUAGAUUAUAGGUAAAGAUUAUAGAUUAUAGGUAAAGACUAGAUUAUAGGUAAAGAUUAUAGAUUAUAGGUAAAGACUAUAGAUUAUAUGUAAAGAUUAUAGAUUAUAGGUAAAGAUUAUAGAUUAUAGGUAAAGACUAGAUUAUAGAUUAUAGGUAAAGAUUAUAGAUUAUAGGUAAAGAUUAUAGAUUAUAUGUUAAUAUUAUAGAUUAUGGUAAAGAUUACAGAUUAUAGAUAAAGACUAUAGAUUAUAUGUAAAGACUAGAUUAUUGAUAAAGACUAUAGAUUAUAGAUUAUAUGUAAAGAUUAUAGAUUUUAGGUAAACAUUAAGUCAGAGUCAGUCGGGUUUGAUGCACUUUCAUUGAACCUGUUGUGAAAGUUCUGAGUUUACAGAAUCAGGAAGUGAAUGAAAUCAGGGAGGAUUAUUUCUGAUCAACCAAAAGCAGAAGUGAUCAACAAAGAGUGUCGGUCUGAGUUUCCGCUCUGCCCGUAAAGCUUUGUGGUCAGUUUCAGAAUGAGUGGUUAUGUUCUUAUUCAGCUGACUGCCAGCUCCUCUUCCUCAGAAAGACCUGACUCACACUCAUUACCCAACAUGCAUCAUGUGUAACAUCCUGUGACAGUCUCCGUUCAGCUGAGGUCAGCGAUCAAUAACAACCUGUUAAUAACUAAUCAAUACAUAAAGUGACUCCACCGUCAGUGUGGAGAGAUUAAUGUCAGUUCAGUUUUAUAAUAAAGACAUUAUUAUUAUUAUUAUUAUUAUUAUUAGUUUGAAUAGUUAAUGUUUAUUAAC